rnacentral:tRNA from 1 species
UCCUGGUGGCUCAGACAGUAAAGAAUCUGCCUUCAAUGCAGGAAGACCCGGGUUCAAUCCCUGGGUCAGGAA